CCUACGGGCCGCACCAGUAGGGAAUCUUCGGCAAUGGACGAAAGUCUGACCGAGCAACGCCGCGUGAGUGAAGAAGGUUUUCGGAUCGUAAAACUCUGUCGGUAGAGAAGAACGUUGGUGAGAGUGGGAAGCUCAUCAAGUGACGGUAACUACCCAGAAAGGGACGGCUAACUACGUGCCAGCAGCCGCGGUAAUACGUAGGUCCCGAGCGUUGUCCGGAUUUAUUGGGCGUAUAGUGAGCGCAGGUGGUUUAUUAAGUCUGGUGUAAAAGGCAGUGGCUCAACCAUUGUAUGCAUUAGAAACUGGUAGACUUGAGUGCAGGAGAGGAGAGUGGAAUUCCAUGUGUAGCGGUGAAAUGCGUAGAUAUAUGGAGGAACACCGGUGGCGAAAGCGGCUCUCUGGCCUGUAACUGACACUGAGGCUCGAAAGCGUGGGGAGCAAACAGGAUUAGAUACCCGUGUAGUC
rnacentral:rRNA from 1 species